rnacentral:rRNA from 1 species
UGGUGGAGUGAUUUGUCUGGUUAAUUCCGCUAACGAACGAGACCUUAACCUGCUAAAUAGUUACAUGUAAUUUCGAUUAUGUGGGCAACUUCUUAGAGGGACUUUGUGUGCAUAAUACAAGGACGUUUGAGGCAAUAACA